rnacentral:rRNA from 1 species
UACAGAGGCUACGAGCGUUAGGCGGAAUCACUGGGCUUAAAGCGUGUGUAGGUGGAUGGGUAAGUACCUUGUGAAAUCCCACGGCUCAACCGUGGAACUGCUCGGUAUACUGCCUGUCUUGAGGCACUCAGGGGCGAGCGGAACAGAUGGUGGAGCGGUGAAAUGCGUAGAUAUCAUCUGGAACGCCAAUGGUGAAGACAGCUCGCUGGGGGGUGUACUGACACUGAGACACGAAAGCCAGGGGAGCAAACGGG